rnacentral:rRNA from 1 species
GAUGAACGCUGGCGGUAUGCCUUAUACAUGCAAGUCGUACGAGAGUUUUUAACUCUAGUGGCGGACGGGUGAGUAACACGUAAGAAUUUGCCUUUAGGAGGGGGACAACAACUGGAAACGGUUGCUAAUACUCCAUAUGCUUUCGAGUGAAAUGGAUUUCCGCCUAAAGAGAAGCUUGCGGCUGAUUAGCUUGUUGGUAGGGUAAUGGCCUACCAAGGCGACGAUCAGUAUCUGGUUUGAGAGGACGAUCAGACACACUGGAACUGAGACACGGUCCAGACUCCUACGGGAGGCAGCAGUAGGGAAUUUUCCGCAAUGGGCGAAAGCCUGACGGAGCAAUACCGCGUGAGGGAUGACUGCCUAUGGGUUGUAAACCUCUUUUUUCAGGGAGGAAUAAAUGACGUGUACCUGAAGAAUAAGCAUCGGCUAACUCCGUGCCAGCAGCCGCGGUAAGACGGAGGAUGCAAGUGUUAUCCGGAAUCACUGGGCGUAAAGCGUCUGUAGGUGGCUCGACAAGUCAACUGUUAAAUCUUGAAGCUCAACUUCAAAAUCGCAGUCGAACCUAUCGGACUAGAGUAUAGUAGAGGUAAAGGGAAUUUCCAGUGGAGCGGUGAAAUGCGUAGAGAUUGGAAAGAACACCAAUGGCGAAGGCACUUUACUGGGCUAUUACUGACACUCAGAGACAAAAGCUAGGGUAGCAAAUGGGAUUAGAUACCCCAGUAGUCCUAGCCGUAAACAAUGGAUACUAGGUGUUGAACAGAUCGACCUGUGCAGUACCAAAGCUAACGCGUUAAGUAUCCCGCCUGGGAAGUAUGCACGCAAGUGUGAAACUCAAAGGAAUUGACGGGGGCCCGCACAAGCGGUGGAGCAUGUGGUUUAAUUCGAUGCAACGCGAAGAACCUUACCAGGGUUUGACAUGAUACGAAUUUCUUUGAAAGAAGAAAGUGCCUUUUGGAACGUAUACACAGGUGGUGCAUGGCUGUCGUCAGCUCGUGUCGUGAGACGUUGGGUUAAGUCCCGCAACGAGCGCAACCCUUAUUUUUAGUUGCCUUUUGGAACUCUAAAAAGACUGCCGGUUAUAAACCGGAGGAAGGCGGGGAUGACGUCAAGUCAGCAUGCCCCUUACACCCUGGGCUACACACGUGCUACAAUGGACGAGACAAUGAGCUGCAAAUCUGCGAAGACUAGCUAAUCUAUAAACUCGUUCUAAGUUCGGAUUGCAGGCUGCAACUCGCCUGCAUGAAGUUGGAAUCGCUAGUAAUCGCUGGUCAGCUACACAGCGGUGAAUUCGUUCCCGGGCCUUGUACACACCGCCCGUCACACCAUGGAAGCUGGUUAUGCCCGAAGUCGUUACUCUAGCCUUUUGGAGGAGGACGCCUAAGGUAGAAUUAGUGACUGGGGUG